GAUGAACGCUGGCGGCGUGCCUAAUACAUGCAAGUCGAGCGAACAGACGAGGAGCUUGCUCCUCUGACGUUAGCGGCGGACGGGUGAGUAACACGUGGAUAACCUACCUAUAAGACUGGGAUAACUUCGGGAAAUCGGAGCUAAUACCGGAUAAUAUAUUGAACCGCAUGGUUCAAUAGUGAAAGACGGUUUUGCUGUCACUUAUAGAUGGAUCCGCGCCGCAUUAGCUAGUUGGUAAGGUAACGGCUUACCAAGGCAACGAUGCGUAGCCGACCUGAGAGGGUGAUCGGCCACACUGGAACUGAGACACGGUCCAGACUCCUACGGUAGGCAGCAGUAGGGAAUCUUCCGCAAUGGGCGAAAGCCUGACGGAGCAACGCCGCGUGAGUGAUGAAGGUCUUCGGAUCGUAAAACUCUGUUAUUAGUGAAGAACAAAUGUGUAAGUAACUAUGCACGUCUUGACGGCACCUAAUCAGAAAGCCACGGCUAACUACGUG
rnacentral:rRNA from 1 species